AUGGGAAUACCUUCCUUCUUCAGCUGGCUCGUGGGCAAGUACCCAAAAAUCGUCGGCACCAUCAUCGACGUCUACUCUGCCUCGUCAUCGGAGGACGAGGAGGAGGAGAAAGAAGAAAAGGAGGAAGAAGAGGGGGAAGAAGAAGAGGUUGAAGAAGAUGACGAUGAAGAGGAUGAAGAUGAAGAAGAGAUCAUCUACGACAACCUCUACCUCGACAUGAAUGAAAUCAUCCACAAAUGCUUCCGCCUCAACAACGGGCUGGUGUACAAUUGGUUUUUCGCUUACUUGGAUCGCUUGUUUCGCAUGGUCAGGCCAAGGAGGCUCCUUUACUUGGCAGUAGAUGGUGUCGCCCCUAUGUCCAAGAUGACCAAGCUGCGACAGAGGUACUUCAAAACUGCCAAGUAUCGCGCAGACUCGGAGGCUGAAGCGAUCCUCUUGACGGAGAUAUUCAGAGCUCAGGGGAAAGAGGUGAUGCCCCGAGAUACGUACGAGCUUCAGAAUCCUGUUGUCAAGGUGCCAGGGACGGAAUUCAUGGAGAAGAUAUCAGCAGCGCUGGAGUACUUCAUCCACGAACGGUUGAAUACCGACCCUGAAUGGAAAGACAUCAAGGUAAUACUUUCUGAUGCAAAUGUUCCUGGAGAAGGGGAGCACAAGAUCAUGUCUUUCAUUCGCGCGCAACGAAGCAUGGAAAACUAUGAUCCGAACACCCGCCAUUGUCUGCAUGGGCAUGAUGCAGAUCUGAUCAUGCUCGCGUUGGCAUCUCACGAAGUCCACAUUUCAAUUUUGCGGGAGUUCGAUAAUCCAAAUGGAAGGAUACCCGCAAGAUUUUAUCAGUUUGUGGACAUAUGGGUUCUGAGAGAGUACUUGGAGCUUGAAAUGAAGACACCAGGUUGCAAACAAGAUACCGAGAGACUAAUAGAUGACUUUAUCUUUAUUUGUUUCUUGACAGGAAACGAUUUCAUUCCACGGAUUCCUUCACUAGAGAUAAAUGAAUUUGCAGUUGAUCUUCUCAUUGAAGUGUACAAAACAACCUUCAACAAAAUGGGGGGCUAUAUGGUCAACACAGACAAAAUUAAAGAUAAAUACGGUGUGUAUCUGGAAGUCACAAGGUUAGAGAAGUUCUUUCAUGAACUGUCCUUGUGCGAAGAGAAAAUUUUACUCAAAAGAUAUGAACUGCAAGAGAAGUUACUGCACAAGAUACAGGGUGAAGCUGCAGUAAACGAAUGGGCCAAGGGAGAGGACAGGGGAGAGAAGAAAACAUCAUUUGCUCAGCAUUUUUUUUAUCCUGUAGAGACUUCCCUUGAAAGAGACUCUGACGAUGUGGUCAGAGAGAAUACCAGGGAGCUAUGGAGAACUGUGAGCGAUAUUUUCUGUAAUAAGGACGACCUUUUUAAAAAUGGAGCCUGCAAACAAGACAAGAUAAGACCAGGAUGGAAAUCCCGGUUCUACAGAGAGAAGCUUGGUGCCGAAACUUCUAAAGAAGUUGGAAGGCUGCAGACAGAAAUGGUUCAGAAGUAUUUAGAAGGAUUAUGCUGGAUGCUUCAAUGCUAUUUUUCUGAAGUUCCUUCAUGGACUUGGUGCUACCCAUUCUAUUAUGCUCCUUUUGCAUCGGAUUUCAAAUGUCUGUCUCAAUUCAACAUAUCUUUCACCAUGGAUAAACCACUAAGACCAUUUGAUCAGCUCAUGGCAGUUUUGCCACCACAAAAGAAUGUUUUGUCAUGUGCCCUUCCAAAAUGUUACAGCAAAUUAAUGGGCUGUGAAGAAUCUAAAAUACAAAUGUCCUAUCCAACAGAGUUCGAGAUUGAUCCAGAUGGCAAACGUUUCUUGUCACAAGGUAUUGCAAAGUUACCAUUCAUAGACAAGGAACUGCUGCUUUCAGCUACCAAAAUGGUAGAGAAAGAUCUAACGGAGGAUGAGAUGGCACGGAAUAAUGCUCGGCAGGAGAGGAUCUUCCUGAGGAACUCGCAGAGUCUGGCAAAUACUGCAGCAUUUGCGGCAACAAUUUUAGACAAUGCACAGAAAAAGCUUUGGAUAGACGCUAGUGAAAUCGGGGGAUGGUUCUCACCAGAUGAGAAGGAGGUUCAAAGCUCUGCGUUAAGAAAAAAUAAGGUUCAACACGCGUGA
rnacentral:rRNA from 1 species